UCUCGAUUAGCUCAGUUGGCUAGAGCGCAUGGCUGUUAACCAUGAGGUCGUAAGUUCGAACCUUACAUCGAGAG